rnacentral:lncRNA from 1 species
GACGGAGUCUAGCUCUGUCACUCAGGCUCGAGUGCAGUGUUGCGAUCUCAGCUCACUGCAACCUCUGCCUCCCAGUUCAAGAGAUUCUCCUGCCUCAGCCUCCUGAGUAGCUGGGAUUACAGGCAUAUGCCACCACGCCUGGCUAAUUUUGUAUAUUUAGUAGAGACGGGGUUUCACCAUGUUGGUCAGGCUGGUCUCGAUCUCCCAACCUCAGGUGAUCCACCCACCUCGACCUCCCAAAGUGCUGGGAUUACAGGCGUGAGCCACUGCACCCUGGCCCCGAGCCACACGUUUUAUAGGCUAUCUCAAAAUUGCCAUUAUUAGGGUCUGCUUUUAGUAUGGAGGGUAAUUUCAUCUGUGACCCAGUGGUCAUUUAUGUUGUGUGAUUUUUACAUUUUUUUUAGGUGUGAGGUUUUUUUUGCCUUAUUAUUAUUAUUUUUCUUUUUUGAGAUGGGGUUUCGCUCUUGUUGCCCAGGCUGGAAUGCAAUGGCGCAAUCUCGGCUCACUGAUGCCUCUGCCCCCCGGCUUCAAGCAAUUCUCCCUCAGGCUCCUGAGUAGCUGGGAUUACAGGUGCCCGCCACCAUGGCCUGGCUAAUUUUUUGUAUUUUUAGUAGAGACAUGGUUUCACCAUGUUGCCCAGGCUGGUCUCGAACUCCUGGUCUUAGGUGAUCCACCCACCUCAGCCUCCCAAAGGGCUGGGAUUACAGGUGUGAGCCACUGUGCCCAGCCUAGGUGUGAGUUUUCUUAAGGGUGUUUUGUACUGUCUCUAUGUG